GUAUAUAAGCCAACCCCCUUCACAUACCUUCAUUUUUCUCUUUUCUUUCUCUCUCUGCUUCUCUCUGUCUCUCAAUACAUCUCUUUUCCCUCUCUCUUAUCUCUAAAAUAUCCCCUCUUAGCCAUCCUUCUCCCACCGUGAUUCACCUUCUGGACCACCACCUUCAACCAGGAUCUUCAUGUUCAUCAUGAAAAUGAAGAACACUCAACCCAGAAGUUGACCCUCUGUCGUCAAUUUGCCUAAAACCGCCGCGAACCCCAGAUUUUCGGUUGAAGCUCAACUGGAAUCUUCGACCGAUGUUCAUCUGGGUUAUGAACAUCAACCCAGAAACUUUUAUGGCCCAUGAACCUUAACCAAACAUGAACCCUAACUCACUUUUUAGAUGAACCCUAACCCUAUUUGGUAUGAACCCUAACCCUAAAAUGAAGAACCAUAACCCUAGUUUCCCAAAAACCCUUCAGAUCAAAUUGAAACUUAAUGUAAAAAAGAAUCAGGAAUACAUUACAAUCAAGCAAUCAACACAAGCAAAUAGAGUAAAGAGAUUGUAUGGCCAACCUUCGGAAAGGAGGAGUUCUCCGGUAAAAGGUAAGUUCUUUGGAUUCUACUUUCCCCUUUUUUUUACUUAUCUCUCUCUCUCUCUCUCUUCGUCUCACUCUUCUUCUAUGAUUGCAAGGUCUUUCUGGUGAUGAUGGCGAAGCUCAAGCAAAUUAGGGUUUCAAUGUGAAACCUUAAUCCCUUCAAAAUUUAGAGCUCUUAGUGAGGUUUGGUGGAUUGUAGAAGAAAGAAUUCUGAGGAUUCUUUUUAUGGUUUUUCUUCUCUGUCCUCGAUUUAAUUAUAGACUUAUGUUUUUAUAGAGUGAUUUUUAGUUUUAGAAUUUAAUUUGAUUGAUUUGUUUUAGGUAAUUUUGUAUUAGGUUGAGAUUUAAUUGAAUAAGAUUUGAUUUGUAAUUCAUGAUUUGAUUCAGAUUUAGAAUUAGGGUUUUGAGAUUUUGAUGUACUUAGUCCGAGAUUACUUAUAAUCACCAUUUUGCAAUGUAUGUUGUAAUAAAAAUGGAAAUAUUUGAUUGAAUGAUUUUGAUCCAUUUCCAA
rnacentral:lncRNA from 1 species